UACGUAGGGGGCAAGCGUUGUCCGGAUUCAUUGGGCGUAAAGAGCUCGUAGGCGGUUCGGCAAGUCGGGUGUGAAACUCCAGGCUCAACCUGGAGACGCCACCCGAUACUGCUGUGACUUGAGUCCGGUAGGGGACCACGGAAUUCCUGGUGUAGCGGUGAAAUGCGCAGAUAUCAGGAGGAACACCGGUGGCGAAGGCGGUUCUCUGGGCCUGACCUGACGCUGAGGAGCGAAAGCGUGGGGAGCGAACCGG
rnacentral:rRNA from 1 species